rnacentral:rRNA from 1 species
AGUCCUACGGGAGGCAGCAGUAGGGAAUCUUCCACAAUGGACGAAAGUCUGAUGGAGCAACGCCGCGUGAGUGAAGAAGGGUUUCGGCUCGUAAAGCUCUGUUGGUAGUGAAGAAAGAUAGAGGUAGUAACUGGCCUUUAUUUGACGGUAAUUACUUAGAAAGUCACGGCUAACUACGUGCCAGCAGCCGCGGUAAUACGUAGGUGGCAAGCGUUGUCCGGAUUUAUUGGGUGUAAAGCGAGUGCAGGCGG